AAAAAGAAAAGCCUGUGUGAGACUGCCCUGCUGUGGAGUCUCAGCAGGCAGAGCUCUGGGAGUCUCCACCAUGGCCUGGACCCCUCUCCUGCUCCCGCUCCUCACUCUGUGCACAGGUUCUGUGGCCUCCAGUGGGCUGACUCAGCCUCCCUCAGUGUCGGUGGCCCUGGGACAGAUGGCCACCAUCACCUGCUCUGGAGAUGUACUAAGGGAAAGAUAUGCAUAUUGGUACCAGCAGAAGCCAGGCCAAGCCCCUGUGCUCCUAACUACUAAAAAUACUGAGCGCCCCUCAGGGAUCCCUGACCAAUUCUCUGGCUCCAACUCGGGGAACACAGCCACCCUGACCAUCAGCAGGACGCGGGCAGAGGACGAGGCUGACUAUUACUGUCAGUCCUAUGACAGCAGUGGGAACGCUCACAGUGACACAGGCAGAUGGGGAAGUGAAACACGAACCCCUUCCCUGUCUGUGUCACACUCUCCUCCAGCCACAGAAGGACUGUGGACAAGCAAUGAGCAGGUCUGACCCAGGCUCCCAGAUCCCAGGUCUCCCGAGAUCCACUCUGCCUUCUAGGCUGGCUCUGCACAGGGAGGGUCAGGAGUGCAUUCAGAGCUGACAACACCAGGCUGCCUGGGUUCUGAGAACCCGGGUAUGACCUGGGGAUAGAGGGCCUGGGUGCAGGAGACAGAAGGAGGUUUUUGUCCAGUGGUCAUUAUCUCUGCAUUUUUAUAUGGUGGUCACUGGGCCACUGUUCACACCAGUCACCAGGAUGAGAGCCCCCAAUGUUCCCAUGAGCUGAGCUCCCGAUGACCUGGCAUCAUGAGCCACCUCCACUUGAGGGGAGCAGAGGGUACAAUAGUCACAGUGUUGUCAUCCAUACCCCCACAUCUGGGUUCACACACCACUGCUGCCAGGAUGCCCUGACAGCUCACAGGGGUCCUCCUCACUGGGAAGUGCUCUUGGUUCAGACAACCGCCUCCCCAGGUUUCUGCCCCUUCUCAGAGAGGUUCAGGUGAAUGCCGGCCUGAGUGAAUGAAGGCCCUGCCUCAGGCUCAGAUGUCCUGAAGGUCCCAGCUUUAGAGCUCCCUGCAGGAAUCAUGUGAUGCAUCCCUCUGUGUGGGUCACUCUCCUGCCCAGUCUGGCCUCCCUCCUCCUUCCAUAUCUCCUGCACAUGCACUUCUCCAUCUCAGAGUCUGCUUCCAGGAACCUAAUCCGUGAUGGCUGGCAUCUCCGACAGGGUCCCCAGGGACCUGAGGAGGCCACUGUAUACACACGAAGCUGGAGUUCCUCCCCCAAACCCCCAAUGUGCAUGUCAGAUCCUCAGACAGAUCAGAUUGUUAUUUGUCAUUUUACACAAUGGAAAAAAGAUCCAGAUACACCAGGUGCUCUUAGUUCUGAAAGACAGUGGCAGAGUCACAUCCAUUUUCUGGUGAAUGGGGGACACUGGGGCAGCUGCCUCCUCCUACAAAGUGACCAGAAGAUGGGGCGCCUGGUGGCUCAGUCGGUUAAGCGUCUGACUUCGGCUCAGGUCAUGAUCUCGCGGCUCGUGAGUUCAAGUCCCGCAUUGGGCUCUGUGCUGACAGCUUGGAGCCGGGAGCCUGCUUCAGAUUCUGUGUCUCCCUCUCUCUCUGCCCCUCUCUCACUUGCGCUCUGUCUCU